UCCCGCAGAUUAGGCUCUGGUUAACUAGUUCCCCCUGAGCUCAGGCCUUGUUUAGAACGGAGUGCUCUGGUGUGUUUCCGAACUGUUCCUUUCCCCGUUCCUCUGCAUGAAGGGAUUUUUCUCCGGUAUUUAUGGUGGGAAUCUGGUGGAGCUUCCGGAGGUCAGAAUGAACUGGAACACUAUUAGAACUUCAUCUUGGUGGUCUGACCUAAAAUGGAAAUGCAUGUACCCGUGCUAACAAGUUUGCAUUACUUCUGGGGACUACAUCAUGCUUCCAGGAUUGUUUUUCAUCAUGACUGUGCCUCAUUGCCUUUGUAUUCCUGGAAAACAUGGAGUUCCCGAUGAAGUAAAAGUGAGCUCUGCACAUGAGGUGGAAAUCAUGAUACAUGAGCCUGACUGCUGACUACAGACAUCCUGCAUUAAGGUUCUCAAUGGUGAAGGUUGGAGGAAAGUAACAUUCUCAUUGCCGAAGAUGGGAAGUUGAAGCAGAGGAAGAUCUGUACUCACAAGCCUUAUGAAACUAGCCCUUAUCUUCCUAGUCACCUGUGACACUAACUGCCCCAGCCCAAGCCCUUUGAUGUGUCAUGUUCUCAUAAUGUAAACUCUUUGUCCAGUUCAUUAUUUAAACAUUCAACUCUAACUGGGUCUUUGGGUCUUCAUUUCCUUAUGAGGGCUCCCAUGUAAUGCAAAACUUACAUUUAAUAAAUGUGUAUGUUUUUCUCACCUUAAA